rnacentral:misc_RNA from 1 species
GUGAAUCAUCGAAUUUUUGAACGCACAUUGCGCUUCCUGGUAUUCCGUGAAGUAUGCCUGUUUGAGGGUCAUUAUUAAUAAAAAACUGGGUUAGUUACAAAUUGUGUCUUUUCCGGAGCGUGGUCUAUCUUAACAUUUUUCGUUAAGAGGCUUAAAAUUGACCUUUUUUGCGCAGUAUUAUACGUACAUAAAUUUUUUUUAUUCGUCUAUUCUUUAUGCCAAUAUUUUAUUAGUUGCGAUCAAAUCGGUUGG